UGCUUCGCUAACCUAGUGGUUAGAGCGCUCGCUUAGGAUGCGGUAGGUUGCAGGUUCGAACCCCGACCGAGUCAU